rnacentral:rRNA from 1 species
UACGAAGGGGGCUAGCGUUGUUCGGAAUCACUGGGCGUAAAGCGCACGUAGGCGGCUUUUUAAGUCAGGGGUGAAAUCCUGGAGCUCAACUCCAGAACUGCCUUUGAUACUGAGAAGCUGGAGUCCGGGAGAGGUGAGUGGAACUGCGAGUGUAGAGGUGAAAUUCGUAGAUAUUCGCAAGAACACCAGUGGCGAAGGCGGCUCACUGGCCCGGUACUGACGCUGAGGUGCGAAAGCGUGGGGAGCAAACAGG